ensembl:lncRNA
AUGCUAUUGAGAAGGUUUGGUAAAACUUCUGGGAAAUAUAAAGGUCUCACCUUUUUUGUAUGUUUCUCUUGUACAGCUUUAAACCUGGCCUAUAAGCUGAGUCCAACUAAAAGGAAUUUGCACAAGGCUUACAGAAAAGGGGAUCUCAGACAUGAUGUGUUCGGCAGUCACUGCCCCAGUGCCUUGUGGGUAAAUAUGUUACAGCAACAGCAUAAGAGGAAUACUAUACGAAUGGAAAGACAAGUAAGUCUCAGCCAUAGGCAGUACUCAAACCAACUUUUGCUCUCCCCCGCAGCUGAAAACAGCAUCAUCCAUCCUGGAUUUCUCUCUUGCCUGUUGAGUCCAACACCACAGCACACACUAUAUUGUUGGAUCAUGCCGAUCCCCCACACAACUUGCACACAGUACAACUAUCUUCUACUAUUCAAAUGAGUUCCAUCCAAAUCACUGUUGACAAAGUUAAGUAAAAUAUCAGUGUGUUACAUUUUUUUUCAGCAACUAAGAACUGCCUUAAAACAAGAAACCUUGGGAAGUAAAAAUGCUUAUUUGGUACUAGGAAGUGAAAUAUAUUUCAUAUGUCUAGGGAUGCAUGAUAUUGGAUUUUUGUCGAUAUCUGAUAUGCUGAUAUUUUUCAACUCAUUCUGGCCGAUAGCCAAUGCCGAUACCAGUAUACUUCCUUUUUUUUGUUUUUUUUUUGUGCUGCUGUUGUAAGCAACACCAAGUCUGUCCUGUGCAGAGAUUCUAAACAAAUUAUUUUUAUGUUGUCUUUUUUUUUUUUUUGUAGAUUUAAUAUUUGUAGAAGGUCUAAAGCAAAAAAUGUCCUUGUAUUUAAGUUUUCAUAAUCAAUUUAAAAAUAUAUAUUACACAUUAAAUAAUAAAUCUGUAUAUAUAAAAUUAUUCA